GUAAGUUUCUUGAAGGUGUUUUACAUUGGCUGGUCUAAUUGAGUUGCAGAGUUUAGAAACAUGAUAGACAGUUUGAUAACCAACUAGUGUGAAGGUUUUAGUAAUCAGACUCAAGCAAAGAAGGUGAUGUUCUUGAGGUUGCUGUUUCUGAUUUGGCUUCGAUCUGCCGGACACCCUCAAUCAU